UAAAUCACCACGUUCUAAAUACAUCUGAUUGACUGUGGUAAUUUCUAAUUCUCCACGCUCAGAAGGCUUCACUUGUUUCGCAAUUUCAAUUACAUCAUUGUCAUAAAAAUACAAACCGGUGACUGCAAAGUGAGAUUUAGGUUGUUUU
rnacentral:pre_miRNA from 1 species